AUUCUGGUCUAGUGCUACUUCCACUGCUGCUGGACUUUUGAGCUUUCCACCGGAUCAAAGACCUCUUGGCUCUGCACCUUUUAAAUUUCCUCCCUCCGUUGAAAAACCGAUCCACAAAGGCUCAGCUCUGUAUUUCCAUCGUGUGUAACACGAUGAAUUUUGGAAGCUGCCUCGCACCAAGUGAGACUGCUGGCCCAUCUAGCUCAAUGUGUUGUCUACACUGGACUGGCAGUGACUCUCCAGGCAGGACUAGUUUUGUCCUCCUCCUCCUUCCUGCUGAGCUCUAAAAGGGUAACUUUGAGACGAAGGUGGAGGAAGGCUGACGGGCAGAGCCAACCCCUUGGACUGGUUGUAAGGAAGAAAGCAGGCAGAUUCAUCCACAGAAAAAAAGGAACCUCCCUUCUCCUCAGCUCAUCCUGUUAGAAAGCCAUCAGUUCUACCAGCUGCGCUAACUGAAAGCAUAAAACAGAAGAUGGAGAGGGCUUGCAAGGAAUGCUGGGAAAGAAUCCUGAGGUACUGCUGCAUAACUUCAUCAACACUGAUUUUCCAUCUUAAAAAAGAAGAAUAAACUCCUGCCUGUAAAGCAUAAUACGAGGGGGGGGGAUGUUUGGGGGGGCGAUUUACAGAAGAAUCAGGCGCAUUCAAACAUGCCUUUACCUUGGAAUGUUUCCUUCUUGGUCAGACACGAUGGAACGCGGAACUCUAUUUUCUGCAGAAAUAGAAGGGAUCUCAAUCCCCUGUGAGGUAGCAAAGAUUUUGAAGUUCAGAUCCACAGUACUGGGGCGUGGGCGGAUCUCCCAGUUUGGUCUCACAUACUCAUAGAGGCCCUGAGUAACAAAUGAAUAAAUGAAUACAUAAAUUCAGAAACCAAAUCCACAGAUGGCUAGUUUUGUAUCACUCUCUCCCAACAAACCAGGAUCAGAUCAGAUCACAGUGACCCCUCUGCCCCAGCAUUAAGCCUGGCCCAGCCUCACUAACCUCUUUGCCUCCAUUCCGACCAUAGCCACUUUCUUUAUAACCCCCAAAGGCCGAUGCAGCGUCUAACAUGUUGUGGCCAUUGAUCCAGACAGUCCCAACCUGCAAACUGAACAGAGGAGAGGUUCAGACAAGGCCAGCCCUAUUAUUAGGCACAGGUUAGAUGGCCCCACCUCAGGCUACUGAUUUUGGGUGCCAUAAAAGGGCAGAAAAUUGUUAGCUAUUCAAUUGAUAAUCAUCAAUGUAUUUUUUGCUUCCAGUGAUGGAGAGAGAGGCCCUUGUGGGAUUUUAUGUUUCAGGGAUCAAAAUAACUUGAUCACGGUUUGGUACCCUCCAGGGUUGUUUUUUUUUUUUUACUACAACUCCCAUCAGCCCCAGCCAGCAUGGCAUCUCCCAGGUGAUUUGCAAACUUCUCUAAUAGAGGUGGGGAAGCUGUGGCCCUCUAGAUGUUGUUGGGCUUCAGUUCCCAUCAUCCCUGACCACUGGCCACUGUGGCUUGGGCUGAUGGGAGUCCAACGACAUCUGGAGGGUCACAGCUUAUUCAGCCCUGUUCAAUAUCUAUGCAGCUGGUAGCCAGCAGCAGUGAAAUAUUAAGAACAUAAGAACAUAAGAAGAGCCUGCUGGAUCAGGCCAGUGGCCCAUCUAGUCCAGCAUCCUGUUCUCACAGUGGCCAACCAGGUGCCUGGGGGAAGCCCGCAAGCAGGACCCGAGCGCAAGAACACUCUCCCCUCCUGAGGCUUCCGGCAACUGGUUUUCAGAAGCAUACCAGACUAAGAUGCAUCCAAACUCAGAGGAAGGCAAUGGUAAACCACUUCUGAAUACCUCUUUACCAUGAAAACCAUAUGAACAGAGUAUCCAAAAUGCAGUUCCAUAAAGGAAGCCACAGACCCGAACCCACAAGAUCCGAACAGGGUGGUUCACAACAGACGCUCCUGGAGGUCACUGAUUCACAGGGUCGCCCUAAGGCAAGAAUGGCCCCCUCCCUACUGUCCUUUCGUCAGCAGGUAAAGACCUUUUUAUUCCGACAGGCCUUUGGAAUAGAAGAUGUUUAAGGAUAGCGUUUAAGAGGUGUGCGGUAUUGUUUUACUGCCUUAAUUGCACUAUCUUUACACUGUUUUAACCAUUUUAAGUGUAUGUUUAAAUGUUUUAAUGUCGUAUAUAGUUUAAUUCAAUUUUAAAUGCAGGUUUUUGUAUGUU